CGUAUCCAACAUUUGAUCAUCUGCCUUAUUCGAAAAAUUUAUAAAAAAAAACAAGUCACGCAUAAAGUAUUAUUCAUGUUUUAUCAUAUAAGAACAAUAAAAAUACUAAUCAUAAAAAAAGUAAAUAAGACGGACGGUUAAACGUUGGACACG
rnacentral:pre_miRNA from 2 species